rnacentral:rRNA from 1 species
CCUACGGGUGGCAGCAGUGAGGAAUAUUGGUCAAUGGUCGGGAGACUGAACCAGCCAAGCCGCGUGAGGGAGGAAGGUACUAGGUAUCGUAAACCUCUUUUGUCGGGGAACAAAGAACGGGACGCGUGGCCGUCUGAGAGUACCCGAAGAAAAAGCAUCGGCUAACUCCGUGCCAGCAGCCGCGGUAAUACGGAGGAUGCGAGCGUUAUCCGGAUUUAUUGGGGUUAAAGGGUGCGUAGGCGGAAGAUCAAGCUGGCGGGAAAAUGGGGAGGUCCACCCUUGGCGCGGCGGGGAAACUGGUUUGCUUGAGUGAGCGAGAGGUAUGCGGAAUGCGUGGUGUAGCGGUGAAAUGCAUAGAUAUCACGCAGAACUCCGAUUGCGAAGGCAGCAUACCGGAGCGCAACUGACGCUCAUGCUCGAAAGUGUGGGUAUCGAACAGGAUUAGAUACCCGGGUAGUC